AUACGUAAGUGGCAAGGCGUUGUCCGGAUUUACGUGGGCGUAAAGAGUAUGUAGGCGGAUAUUUAAGUCAGAUGUGAAAUUCCCGGGCUUAACCUGGGAGCUGCAUUUGAUACUGGAUAUCUAGAGUGCGGGAGAGGAAAGUGGAAUUCCUAGUGUAGCGGUGAAAUGCGUAGAGAUUAGGAAGAACACCAGUGGCGAAGGCGACUUUCUGGACCGUAACUGACGCUGAGAUACGAAAGCGUGGGGAGC
rnacentral:rRNA from 1 species